rnacentral:rRNA from 1 species
GACAGAGGGGGCAAGCGUUGCUCGGAAUCACUUGGGCGUAAAGGGCGCGUAGGCGGGAUGGCAAGUCGGUCGUGAAAUCCUUCGGCUCAACCGAAGAACGUCGGCCGAUACUGCCGUUCUUGAGGGAUGCAGAGGAGAUUGGAAUUCCGGUGUAGCGGUGAAAUGUGUAGAGAUCGGGAGGAACACCGGUGGCGAAGGCGGGUCACUGGG